rnacentral:rRNA from 1 species
UACGUAGGGUGCAAGCGUUGUCCGGAAUUAUUGGGCGUAAAGAGCUCGUAGGCGGCUUGUCACGUCGGAUGUGAAAAUCCAGGGCUCAACCCUGGACCUGCAUUCGAUACGGGCAGGCUAGAAUUCGGUAGGGGAGACUGGAAUUCCUGGUGUAGCGGUGAAAUGCGCAGAUAUCAGGAGGAACACCGGUGGCGAAGGCGGGUCUCUGGGCAACAACUGACGCUGAGGAGCGAAAGCGUGGGGAGCAAACAGG